UACGGGGGGGGCAAGCGUUGUUCGGAAUUACUGGGCGUAAAGGGCUCGUAGGCGGCCAACUAAGUCAGACGUGAAAUCCCUCGGCUUAACCGGGGAACUGCGUUUGAAACUGGGAGACUUGAGUUUGGGAGAGGGACGCGGAAUUCCAGGUGUAGCGGUGAAAUGCGUAGAUAUCUGGAGGAACACCGGUGGCGAAGGCGGCGUCCUGGACCAACACUGACACUGAUGAGCGAAAGCCAGGGGAGCAAACGGG
rnacentral:rRNA from 1 species